AGCGGGGCACGACUGUCCUCGCGGGGAGGCGUGCUUCUGCGUCAGGAGGGGUGACUUCUGUCCGGGACAGCGCUGGCACCGCGGCCUUCAACGAAUUGGAUGGAUCCCACCCAAAUCACGAAGGGUAAUCUGCUCUACUCAGUCUGCCAGUUCAAAUGUGAGUUUUGUGCAGAAACACCCUCGCGGACAGGUGAGUAAUGUCUGACCAAGUAUCUGGGCAUUCUGUGGUCUAGUCAAGUGGACCCAAGCAGACCCCUGUGUGCUGCUUUAUGCUUUAUGCUUAGAGGAAGACAGGAUGAGCUCUAGGCACAUCUAGGUAGGAUCUUUAAACAGGUGGAAGAGGUAACAGGCGAUACCAGCCAGCUGUCUUCUGUGCUGGUUGUUGUUAUUAUUAUUAUUAUUAUUAUCAUUAUUAUUAUUACUAUAGUUUAAGAAAAAACAUUCCUGAAGUCCACAGCAGACUUCUCACACACCUCAAUGGCCCCAAAUGGUCACCUGGCCUUUGCUUGCAAGGGGGGCAGGGCUUGGGGAAAUUGAAUAUCAAGAAAAUGGGAGUAAGAAUCAUUGUGUUUGGUCAUCUUACAGUAAUCGUGAUUGGUUUGGGCUUAUUGCUACCCCUUAUAAUCUGGGGGCUCCACUAGCUGAGAAGGGAGGGAGUGAGGCAUACAACAGUAAUAGACGUAGUUCUCAAACAGAAAUCCCAGUCCAGCCCUCCCUCUCUGAAACUGUAUCCUUGGCUUCUUUAGGACUUGGAAUGUUUAUAAACUCAAUCACAUUUGUAUAGAUAAUUUCUUGGCUUGUAAAACUUGAUUAUUAUGUUUAUUAUUAUUAUUAAACAUGUACAAAACAAACACUUUAUUUAUUAAAACUUUAUUAUUAUAAUUAUUAGGUUUGAACUUUAACAGUUUCAUUCCCAGAUGGCAGCUUUCUUUCUCCUGUUUCUAUGUCUCUUGGGGUUGGGGGAGGGUGUCCUGCCAUGGACCCUUUGUAUGGUUGAAUUGAAACUUCUCAGAGGGGAAGAUGGGGGUCCUGGCACUGACUAUUGGUCUCUGUGGCUCUGUUGAUCUGCCCAGAUCCCAGGGCAAACCACUCAUUUCCAGAGCAGGUCCCUCUCCGUUGCAAUCAAAAGACUCCCACCUUACCUUCCCACGCUGGUUCUGGCAAAUGGCCUGAAUAUGCUCACGGGUAAUGCCUGUGCUAUCCUCCUCCCCUCUCAUCCCAUUUUCUGACCCAGUGCCCCACUCAGUGCCUUGUCUUAGACUGGACCAGGGGCCAUUUCUGCACGAUGUAGAUGAGAUGUUGCUGCUUUCAUGAUUCAGAUCGUUUAUGGUGCCCACACCCGAAGAAUGAAGUCCCAGGACCUAAAAUUUAAGAUUUCUACCAAAAGAUGGAGUCGAACUGCAAUUCUUCCUGCCACCUCCCCCACAGUCUGAUCUAUCACCAAGUCCUGUCUGUGGAGCUCUUCCUUCAAAACACACACACGUGCACCCACAUGAUUUACCUCACCCUGGGUGUGAUCACUGCCUGGCCUGCUCCAGUUACCAAUCCCUCAAGGAUAGUUGGUGCUAACUUUCUCUCCUGGGGAAGCUUUACUAUCCACCCCUCCCAAUUCCCCAUGCUACCACUUUACUCUUGCACUUAGUACUGUAUGUUGCAAUCACAUACACAUCUCAAGCUAGAAUACUAGGAGUUGUGGUCUGGGUUAGUUUUAGGACAGCUGCAAUAAUUAAUGCUACUUGAACAAGAGAAUGGCUGGUCCACGCCCAUAACAGACCCUUUUCUAAAUAAUUUUUAAAGAUUUUUUUUAUUUAUUUAUUUGACAGACAGAGAUCACAAGUAGGCAGAGAGGCAGGCAGAGAGAAAGGGAGAAGCAGGCUCCCUGCUGAGCAGAGAGCCUGAUGCAGGGCUCGAUCCGAGGACCCUGGGAUCAUGACCUGAGCUGAAGGCAGAGGCUUUAACCCACUGAGCCACCCAGGUGCCCCCUAAAUAAUAAUUUUUAAAGAUUUAUUUUUAAAUUUUAAAGAUUUAUUUAUUUAUUUGAGAGAGAAAGAUACAGCAGGGGAGGGGCAGAGGGAGAGGGAAUCUCCAGCAGACUCUCACCACUGACUGUGGAGCCUGACGUGUGGUUUGAUCUCAUGACCCUAAGAUCACGACCUGAGCCAAAAUCAAGAGUCCAAUGCUCAACCGACUGAGUUACUCAGGUGCCCCUCUAAAGAAUAAUUUAUGUGAUAAAAUGAGGUAUUUCAAAUCAAUAGGGGAUACAAACAACACGGCAAUCAGCUCUUGGAAAGGGAAAGAAAUUCGUAUUUUAAAUGAAUUCUAGGAAGACUGCUGUGGUUUUGAAAUAUGUUCUCAAGUUCUUUUAUAGACUUCCUUUCAAGCAAUGGAGCUUAAGUCCCCUGUCCUUGAGGGUGGGGUGGACUUAGUGAUUUGCUUCUAAUGAAGAGCCUAGUGCAGCUGCAGAGACCAGAGCAUGAAAAGCACCAUGACUUCUGCCUCGCUCGCUCGCUCUCUCUGACCGUGGGCUGUCAUGUCAGAGGGGCACUCUAGCAGGCCACUGAGAGGCCAGUGGUGAGGGGCUGAGGCUUCCUGAGAACAGCUACGUGAGGAGCCAUCCUGGAAGCAGAUUCUCCACCCCCAGGGGCACCCCCGAGGGGACGCAGCCCCAGCCAACAACUUGCCAACUGCGACUGUGCCAUGAGAGAACUCAAGUCAGAACCAUUCAGUUAAGAUGCUCUCAACUCCCGACCCAAGGAAACUGAGAUAAUGAAUGUGAGUGGCUUUAACCCACUGAGUUUUGAGAAGUAGUAUGUCACACAGCAACACACAAAGAAUAAACCACAAAAUAUUUUUGAAAAAGAA